rnacentral:rRNA from 1 species
AGACCCGAAACCCGGUGAUCUAGCCAUGGGCAGGUUGAAGGUUGGGUAACACUAACUGGAGGACCGAACCGACUAAUGUUGAAAAAUUAGCGGAUGACCUGUGGCUGGGGGUGAAAGGCCAAUCAAACCGGGAGAUAGCUGGUUCUCCCCGAAAGCUAUUUAGGUAGCGCCUCGUGAAUUCAUCUCCGGGGGUAGAGCACUGUUUCGGCUAGGGGGCCAUCCCGGCUUACCAACCCGAUGCAAACUGCGAAUACCGGAGAAUGUUAUCACGGGAGACACACGGCGGGUGCUAACGUCCGUCGUGAAGAGGGAAACAACCCAGACCGCCAGCUAAGGUCCCAAAGUCAUGGUUAAGUGGGAAACGAUGUGGGAAGGCCCAGACAGCCAGGAUGUUGGCUUAGAAGCAGCCAUCAUUUAAAGAAAGCGUAAUAGCUCACUGGUCGAGUCGGCCUGCGCGGAAGAUGUAACGGGGCUAAACCAUGCACCGAAGCUGCGGCAGCGACACUGUGUGUUGUUGGGUAGGGGAGCGUUCUGUAAGCCUGUGAAGGUGUGUCGUGAGGCAUGCUGGA